CGGUCUUUUCAAAGAGGGCCUAUGGAGCAGUGAAACCAGGAGCUCUUAAUGCUAUUAUCAAAGAUUGAAUUUUUCCAUAGGAUGCCAUAGUCACUUCAUAGGCUAUGUGUUCCUGAGGAGGUGUAGCC
ensembl:snoRNA